ensembl:lncRNA
GCGCCAGUGGUUGCGUGUCUGGAAAAGAUUCAGCUCCCGCCUGGUGCUGUAGUUUGCAACCAGCAUUUUACCCGCGAUUCUGCACGUCUCCGUUCCAAGAGGGAGGCUGUGCCCACCGUGGCUCUUCCGCGAUUUAGAUGCAGCCCACCGACUCUGCUCCCCCACCAUGACGGGCUACAGUCUGAGGCUAAAUCUACCCAAGACACUGGCUGUCAGACUGAUUUAGUAAUCUGCAAGAAUGCACUUGUCCAGGCUGACGUGGUGUUACCCGUAGCAAAGGUGAAUUAUUUUUAAUAAUCUUCUAUGUAAACAUUUUAUUACCUUCUAGUUUUAAUUUGUUUUACAGAUUGUUACAAGUGAUUUUAUGCUCUUUUAAACAUUUAUAAAUGUGCUGCUUCUUUGUUUUUAUAGAGCUCACAGCCUCAGUGUCUUGUGACACAGGGACCAUGACAGAAAUUCAUCUUCCAGAAGGUCCCAGAGCAUCCACACCUCCUGAAAAGACCACGGUGUGAGGUGUCUGCUGUUGAUUCCAGCUUCCACCUCAGUGACAGUGCAAGCUCAGUGAACUGUUCAAGGUAAAAAAAAAUUAAAACAUUUCUGAAUUUUUAAGAUAUUAACAAUUAAAUAAGUAUGUGAUUACAUCAUGAAGGAGGCUACUGAUUCUGGCCCUGUGACACUUGGUGGUCACCACCAGGUGGUGACGUGUGAGCUGAUUCACCUGGUAAAUAACUUUUAAAUUAAAUAUUUUGUUUUUGCUAUCAAAAGUAAAUUAACUAAUAACCUGCAUUACUGCAGGACACUCAGCAAAAUAUGGACUCUACACCAUGAGGCAGGCACACGUUAAUAACUCUAUAAGAGCACAUAAGGUAAGCAACACCACAUAUUAUUUUUAUUACUGUACACUGUCCUGGAUUUGUUUUCUUUCUGCAUGAUUUGUUUUCUUUCUGCAUCUCAUCAUUAGCCUGGCUGAUCACCUGAUAACUCCUGUCAUCUGGUUAUGACAGCAUGAGGAUGUCCUCACACACCUGUAACCUAUCAGCUCAUCUGGCAGAAUAGAGAGAGAAGAGACAACACCACAUCUCCUGUUCCUGGAAAGCCUUCAGCCAUCCUUCGAUGACUGAGAACCUCCAUCAGCUCUGUCUCCUGUCUGCCUACAAUUAUUAUAAUAAAUAUUGUGUUUGACAAGUUUUUUGUGCUGCCAAAUAUCUCAUUUUGAUUCCAGUUUUGAUAUUUUAAUGGAUAUUUAUAAAUUACAUUAAUUGAAUUAUCACAUUGUCGCAUGUUUAACUAGCUCUAUUGUGAUGAACUAAACUAGCACCUCACUGUUAAAAGCUCGUUUUAAUUUCAAGCAUGUUUAAGUAUUUAUGGACAUGAACAAAAACAGGAAAUAUAUAAAUUGAGAUUUAUUUAAUUAAUAUAACAAAUAAGGGGGAAAGAGUCAUUGAAAGGCACAUUCUUCUGGAAGUUCCUGAUCCCGACGACAUCAGCAGGAGACCAGCUGCAGACACCAGAGGAUCACCUGCAACCAAGAGCAGCUAGUAUCAGUAAAUAAAUAAUGAAAUCAGGGCAGUUUUAAUGGGCUGAACACAUUACAGAAUAAUUUUCUCAUGGUAUAUUUUCAUAACUUUAUGCAGCAGACUAGCUUGAGCCCAGAUCUCCUGGAGAGCUGCUAUCCAGCACGUUUCAGUGGAUUUUCCUGCUUUAACAGGUUAGAUAAGCUGUUAAGCAGCUCAGCUGUUUGUUGCUGAUUAAAACCAGGUGUGUUGAUGCAGAUAAAUCUCUAAAACAUGCUGAAUACUAGCUUUUUAGGGCCAUGGAGACAAACCCUGCAGCUAAUCCAAUGCUAUGGCUAACGGCUACUUACGUUCAGAGAUGGGUCUGUUGGGUCGGUUCCAGUAAUUUCAGGCAACUCACAAGCUCAAAACAAUAAGGCUCAUGUCCGCUUGUCUCCUCCAAAUAGACUUGGUCCCUUUCUUCUCGAGUGUCUGGGUAAGGAGGGGGAGAAACGUCCUCCACUUCUAAUGACUGCUCAGAGUGAAGGGAGCUAGCUUCGUCUAGUUAGCCGUCUCUUCGUCACUGCCACGGCUCCGCCCUCUCGGUCCUCCAGGCAACGCCUACUAAUGUUGCAGUUUUCAAAAUUGAUACGUGGGUGGGGUAAGACUCUGAGGCACACUUGACAUGCACUUUAAAUAGAAAAAAUGAACCAGGAAAGCAGCAAUUGUUUUUUCAGUUUU